rnacentral:rRNA from 1 species
UACGUAGGGUGCAAGCGUUGUCCGGAAUCAUUGGGCGUAAAGAGCGUGUAGGCGGUCCGGUAAGUCCGCUGUGAAAGUCGGGGGCUCAACCCUCGAAUGCCGGUGGAUACUGUCGGGCUAGAAUCCGGAAGAGGCAAGUGGAAUUCCCGGUGUAGCGGUGAAAUGCGCAGAUAUCGGGAAGAACACCCGUGGCGAAGGCGGUUCUACUGGGACGGUACUGACGCUGAGACGCGAAAGCGUGGGGAGCGAACAGG